UAGGGAAUCUUCGGCAAUGGGGGGAACCCUGACCGAGCAACGCCGCGUGAGUGAAGAAGGUUUUCGGAUCGUAAAGCUCUGUUGUUAAGGAAGAACGAGUGUGAGAAUGGAAAGUUCAUACUGUGACGGUACUUAACCAGAAAGGGACGGCUAACUACGUGCCAGCAGCCGCGGUAAUACGUAGGUCCCGAGCGUUGUCCGGAUUUAUUGGGCGUAAAGCGAGCGCAGGCGGUUAGAUAAGUCUGAAGUUAAAGGCAGUGGCUCAACCAUUGUAGGCUUUGGAAACUGUUUAACUUGAGUGCAGAAGGGGAGAGUGGAAUCCCAUGUGUAGCGGUGAAAUGCGUAGAUAUAUGGAGGAACACCGGUGGCGAAAGCGGCUCUCUGGUCUGUAACUGACGCUGAGGCUCGAAAGCGUGGGGAGCGAACAGG
rnacentral:rRNA from 1 species